ensembl:lncRNA
CGAGGCGUUCCCAGGCCAGUGUUGAGAUAUAAUCUCUCCACCUAGUCCUGGGUCUUCCCCGAGGUCUCCUCCCCACUGGACGUGCCUGAAACACCUCCCAAGGAAGGCGCCCAGUGGGCAUCCUUACCAGAUGCCCGAAACCACCUCAGCUGACUCCUUUCUAAGUAAAGGAGCAGCGGCUCUAAUCCGCUGGCUCUAAUUAGAGAAAGUACGGGGUUGUUGUUCGAGGUGUUAUGACCCGCCUGUCAAUUGAUGUGGAAUAAACUAAUUUGAUCCUUUGUGGUAUGGUGGUCUCGUGCUGAGACACAAGGUAAACGGGCUUGCGUUCUGGAGGUGGUUCAUGAAGCAUCUGCUGAACACAGGUCAAAGAACCCCAGGGAUCCAUACCGCGGUAGGCCAUCGAGAUAUCGCCCUUUGGAUGGAGGCAGAGAGGAGGAGUCUUUAUUGAAGUGCUGUUUGACCGUUCACACACUACCAGAGGACGGGUUAAUGGAUCCCAGCUGGUGCUUCAGGAGGCGGACCAGUCGCCGCUACUCCAGAAAAGUCCAAAUUUAGAAGAAAUUGUCAAAAGAUUUUCCCUCCCUUUUCAUUAAAGGAACAAUCCCCUUCUCCGCUCCGCCCACUGCCGUUGGUUCCUGUUGCCUUCUCCUUUAUCUCCCAUUUUAAAUCUAAUGCCUGAUUACCUCUCAGGUCAGCUCAUUGGUUCUUCCUCUUUACUCUCAGCUGUUUCUCGACCGCUCUUGGUGAUUUUUGUGGUUUCCUUUUCCAUCAUUCCUUCUCUCCCACUCAUCCAUUUCUCUACUGCCCGCCACACACACACACACACACACACACACACACACACACACCACACCACACCACACCACACCACACCACACCACACCACACCACACACAUACAAACACAAACUUCCCAGACAUUAACACAGGGCCCAGGUCAAGGGAGUCCCACGAUAAUAACCAAUCGGAGCUGGUGGGGGUUCGGUCGGGUCCCACUAAGCCCAUCCCCAUGUUACC